CAUGCAGUCGAACGGACUUACAUUGAAGCCUAGCGAUAUGUAAGUUAGUGGCGGACGGGUGAGUAACGCGUGGGUAACCUGCCUUGUACUGGGGGACAACAGUUGGAAACGACUGCUAAUACCGCAUAAGCGCACAGCUUCGCAUGAAGCAGUGUGAAAAACUCCGGUGGUACAAGAUGGACCCGCGUCUGAUUAGCUGGUUGGUGAGGUAACGGCCCACCAAGGCGACGAUCAGUAGCCGGCCUGAGAGGGUGAACGGCCACAUUGGGACUGAGACACGGCCCAAACUCCUACGGGAGGCAGCAGUGGGGAAUAUUGCACAAUGGGGGAAACCCUGAUGCAGCAACGCCGCGUGAGUGAAGAAGUAUUUCGGUAUGUAAAGCUCUAUCAGCAGGAAAGAAAAUGACGGUACCUGACUAAGAAGCCCCGGCUAACUACAUGCCAGCAGCCGCGGUAAUACGUAGGGGGCAAGCGUUAUCCGGAUUUACUGGGUGUAAAGGGAGCGUAGACGGUUUUGCAAGUCUGAAGUGAAAGCCCGGGGCUUAACCCCGGGACUGCUUUGGAAACUGUAGAACUAGAGUGCAGGAGAGGUAAGUGGAAUUCCUAGUGUAGCGGUGAAAUGCGUAGAUAUUAGGAGGAACACCAGUGGCGAAGGCGGCUUACUGGACUGUAACUGACGUUGAGGCUCGAAAGCGUGGGGAGCAAACAGGAUUAGAUACCCUGGUAGUCCACGCCGUAAACGAUGAUUACUAGGUGUUGGUGGGUACGACCCAUCGGUGCCGCAGCAAACGCAGUAAGUAAUCCACCUGGGGAGUACGUUCGCAAGAAUGAAACUCAAAGGAAUUGACGGGGACCC
rnacentral:rRNA from 1 species